AUUGAACGCUGGCGGCAUGCUUUACACAUGCAAGUCGAACGGUAACAGGCCUUCGGGUGCUGACGAGUGGCGAACGGGUGCGUAAUGCAUCGGAACGUACCCAGAGGUGGGGGAUAACGCAGCGAAAGCUGUGCUAAUACCGCAUGUGAUCUGAGGAUGAAAGCGGGGGACCGAGCAGCAAUGUUUGGCCUCGCGCCUUUGGAGCGGCCGAUGUCGGAUUAGCUAGUUGGUGGGGUAAAGGCCUACCAAGGCGACGAUCCGUAGCUGGUCUGAGAGGACGACCAGCCACACUGGGACUGAGACACGGCCCAGACUCCUACGGGGGGCAGCAGUGGGGAAUUUUGGACAAUGGGCGCAAGCCUGAUCCAGCAAUGCCGCGUGCGGGAAGAAGGCCUUCGGGUUGUAAACCGCUUUUGGCAGGAACGAAACGGUGUCCGCUAAUACCGGGCGCUAAUGACGGUACCUGCAGAAUAAGCACCGGCUAACUACGUG
rnacentral:rRNA from 1 species